rnacentral:rRNA from 1 species
CAGCCGCCACGGUAAUACGUAGGUGGCAAGCGUUGUCCGGAAUUAUUGGGCGUAAAGGGCUCGCAGGCGGUUUCUUAAGUCUGAUGUGAAAGCCCCCGGCUCAACCGGGGAGGGUCAUUGGAAACUGGGAAACUUGAGUGCGGAAGAGGAGAGUGGAAUUCCACGUGUAGCGGUGAAAUGCGUAGGGAUGUGGAGGAACACCAGUGGCGAAGGCGACUCUCUGGUCUGUAACUGACGCUGAGGAGCGAAAGCGUGGGGAGCGAACAGGAUAAGAUACCCCGGUAGUCCCUGUCUCUUAUAC